UACAGAGGUCCCGAGCGUUGUUCGGAUUCACUGGGCGUAAAGGGUGCGUAGGUGGUGAGGUAAGUCGGAUGUGAAAUCUCCGGGCUCAACCCGGAAAUGGCAUUGGAAACUACCUUGCUAGAGGAUUUGAGGGGGGAUUGGAAUACUUGGUGUAGCAGUGAAAUGCGUAGAUAUCAAGUGGAACACCAGUGGCGAAGGCGGCAUCCUGGACCGGCAUUGACGCUGAGGAGCGAAAGCCAGGGGAGCAAACGGG
rnacentral:rRNA from 1 species